UAAAUCCAUGCCAUGUUGCAGAGAGUUCU
rnacentral:piRNA from 2 species